rnacentral:rRNA from 1 species
GAUGAACGCUGGCGGCGUGCCUAAUACAUGCCAGUCGAGCGAACGGACGAGAAGCUUGCUUCUCUGAUGUUAGCGGCGGACGGGUGAGUAACACGUGGAUAACCUACCUAUAAGACUGGGAUAACUUCGGGAAACCGGAGCUAAUACCGGAUAAUAUUUUGAACCGCAUGGUUCAAAAGUGAAAGACGGUCUUGCUGUCACUUAUAGAUGGAUCCGCGCUGCAUUAGCUAAUUGGUAAGGUAACGGCUUACCAAGGCAACGAUGCAUAGCCGACCUGAGAGGGUGAUCGGCCACUCUGGAACUGAGACACGGUCCAGACUCCUACGGGAGGCAGCAGUAGGGAAUCUUCCGCAAUGGGCGAAAGCCUGACGGAGCAACGCCGCGUGAGUGAUGAAGGUCUUCGGAUCGUAAAACGCUGUUAUUAGGGAAGAACAUAUGUGUAAGUAACUGUGCACAUCUUGACGGUACCUAAUCAGAAAGCCACGGCUAACUACGUG